rnacentral:tRNA from 1 species
GCGGUCAUGAUGAAAUUGGCAGACAUGCAGGAUUUAGGUUCCUGUGCCGCAAGGCGUGUGGGUUCAAGUCCCACUGACCGCA